rnacentral:rRNA from 1 species
UACGUAGGGUCCGAGCGUUGUCCGGAAUUAUUGGGCGUAAAGGGCUCGUAGGCGGUUUGUUGCGUCGGGAGUGAAAUCCUCCAGCUUAACUGGAGGCUUGCUUUCGAUACGGGCAGACUUGAGGUACUCAGGGGAGAAUGGAAUUCCUGGUGUAGCGGUGAAAUGCGCAGAUAUCGGGAGGAACCCCGGUGGCGAAGGCGGCGACCUGGGUUGAUACUGGCGCUGAGGUUCGGAAGCGUGGGGAGCAAACAGG